rnacentral:rRNA from 1 species
GAUGAACGCUGGCGGCGUGCCUAAUACAUGCAAGUCGAGCGAAUGGAUUAAGAGCUUGCUCUUAUGAAGUUAGCGGCGGACGGGUGAGUAACACGUGGGUAACCUGCCCAUAAGACUGGGAUAACUCCGGGAAACCGGGGCUAAUACCGGAUAACAUUUUGAACCGCAUGGUUCGAAAUUGAAAGGUGGCUUCGGCUGUCACUUAUGGAUGGACCCGCGUCGCAUUAGCUAGUUGGUGGGGUAACGGCUCACCAAGGCAACGAUGCGUAGCCGACCUGAGAGGGUGAUCGGCCACACUGGGACGGAGACACGGCCCAGACUCCUACGGGAGGCAGCAGUAGGGAAUCUUCCGCAAUGGACGAAAGUCUGACGGAGCAACGCCGCGUGAGUGAUGAAGGCUUUCGGGUCGUAAAACUCUGUUGUUAGGGAAGAACAAGUGCUAGUUGAAUAAGCUGGCACCUUGACGGUACCUAACCAGAAAGCCACGGCUAACUACGUACCAGCCGCCGCAGUAA